rnacentral:rRNA from 1 species
UUGCUCUUCAACGAGGAAUGCCUAGUAAGCGCAUGUCAUCAGCAUGCGUUGAUUACGUCCCUGCCCUUUGUACACACCGCCCGUCGCUACUACCGAUUGAAUGGCUCAGUGAGGCCUCCGGACUGGCUCGAAGAGGUUGGCAACGACCACUUCGAGCCGGAAAGCUGGUCAAACUCGGUCAUUUAGAGGAAGUAAAAGUCGUAACAAGGUUUCCGUAGGUGAACCUGCGGAAGGAUCAUUACCUAGAGUUUGUAGACUUCGGUCUGCUACCUCUUACCCAUGUCUUUUGAGUACCUUCGUUUCCUCGGCGGGUCCGCCCGCCGAUUGGACAACAUUCAAACCCUUUGCAGUUGCAAUCAGCGUCUGAAAAAACAUAAUAGUUACAACUUUCAACAACGGAUCUCUUGGUUCUGGCAUCGAUGAAGAACGCAGCGAAAUGCGAUAAGUAGUGUGAAUUGCAGAAUUCAGUGAAUCAUCGAAUCUUUGAACGCACAUUGCGCCCCUUGGUAUUCCAUGGGGCAUGCCUGUUCGAGCGUCAUUUGUACCUUCAAGCUCUGCUUGGUGUUGGGUGUUUGUCUCGCCUCUGCGUGUAGACUCGCCUUAAAACAAUUGGCAGCCGGCGUAUUGAUUUCGGAGCGCAGUACAUCUCGCGCUUUGCACUCAUAACGACGACGUCCAAAAGUACAUUUUUACACUCUUGACCUCGGAUCAGGUAGGGAUACCCGCUGAACUUAAGCAUAUCAAUAAGCGGAGGA